rnacentral:rRNA from 1 species
GGGUUGUGAGGUUAAGCGACUAAGCGUACACGGUGGAUGCCCUGGCAGUCAGAGGCGAUGAAGGGCGUGCUAAUCUGCGAUAAGCGCCGGUAAGGUGAUAUGAACCGUUAUAACCGGCGAUACCCGAAUGGGGAAACCCAGUGUGACUCGUCACACUAUCAUUAACUGAAUCCAUAGGUUAAUGAGGCGAACCGGGGGAACUGAAACAUCUAAGUACCCCGAGGAAAAGAAAUCAACCGAGAUUCCCCCAGUAGCGGCGAGCGAACGGGGAGGAGCCCAGAGCCUGAAUCAGCAUGUGUGUUAGUGGAAGCGUCUGGAAAGGCGCGCGAUACAGGGUGACAGCCCCGUACACAAAAGCGCAUGUGCUGUGAGCUCGAUGAGUAGGGCGGGACACGUGGUAUCCUGUCUGAAUAUGGGGGGACCAUCCUCCAAGGCUAAAUACUCCUGACUGACCGAUAGUGAACCAGUACCGUGAGGGAAAGGCGAAAAGAACCCCGGCGAGGGGAGUGAAAAAGAACCUGAAACCGUGUACGUACAAGCAGUGGGAGCACAGGUUUACCUGUGUGACUGCGUACCUUUUGUAUAAUGGGUCAGCGACUUAUAUUCUGUAGCAAGGUUAACCGAAUAGGGGAGCCGGAGGGAAACCGAGUCUUAACCGGGCGUUAAGUUGCAGGGUAUAGACCCGAAACCCGGUGAUCUAGCCAUGGGCAGGUUGAAGGUUGGGUAACACUAACUGGAGGACCGAACCGACUAAUGUUGAAAAAUUAGCGGAUGACCUGUGGCUGGGGGUGAAAGGCCAAUCAAACCGGGAGAUAGCUGGUUCUCCCCGAAAGCUAUUUAGGUAGCGCCUCGUGAAUUCAUCUCCGGGGGUAGAGCACUGUUUCGGCUAGGGGGCCAUCCCGGCUUACCAACCCGAUGCAAACUGCGAAUACCGGAGAAUGUUAUCACGGGAGACACACGGCGGGUGCUAACGUCCGUCGUGAAGAGGGAAACAACCCAGACCGCCAGCUAAGGUCCCAAAGUCAUGGUUAAGUGGGAAACGAUGUGGGAAGGCCCAGACAGCCAGGAUGUUGGCUUAGAAGCAGCCAUCAUUUAAAGAAAGCGUAAUAGCUCACUGGUCGAGUCGGCCUGCGCGGAAGAUGUAACGGGGCUAAACCAUGCACCGAAGCUGCGGCAGCGACGCUGAUGCGUUGUUGGGUAGGGGAGCGUUCUGUAAGCCUGCGAAGGUGGCCUGUGAGGGUUGCUGGAGGUAUCAGAAGUGCGAAUGCUGACAUAAGUAACGAUAAAGCGGGUGAAAAGCCCGCUCGCCGGAAGACCAAGGGUUCCUGUCCAACGUUAAUCGGGGCAGGGUGAGUCGACCCCUAAGGCGAGGCCGAAAGGCGUAGUCGAUGGGAAACGGGUUAAUAUUCCCGUACUUGGUGUUACUGCGAAGGGGGGACGGAGAAGGCUAUGUUGGCCGGGCGACGGUUGUCCCGGUUUAAGCGUGUAGGCUGGUUUUCCAGGCAAAUCCGGAAAAUCAAGGCUGAGGCGUGAUGACGAGGCACUACGGUGCUGAAGCAACAAAUGCCCUGCUUCCAGGAAAAGCCUCUA